UUGGCACAGGAAGUCGACGAAGGACGCGGCAAGCUGCGAUAAGCCCCGGGGAGUGGCAAACACACCUUGAUCCGGGGAUCUCCGAAUGGGGGAACCCAGCAGGGGUCAUGCCCUGCUACCCACGCCUGAAUCAAAUAGGGCGUAGGGAGGCAACCGGGGGAACUGAAACAUCUAAGUACCCCGAGGAAGAGAAAUCAACCGAGAUUGCGCGAGUAGCGGCGAGCGAAAGCGCACCAGCCCAAACCCGGGCGCGUGUAAGCGGCAGGCGUUGCCGCCCGGGGGUUGCGGGACGCACGUCACGGAGCUGCCCUCCGUGGAGUGGUCACAAAGGAGUCAGGUAGCGGAACGGCAUGGAAGGGCCGGCCGCAGCGGGUGAGAGCCCCGUACGCGAAACCCGUCUCCCCACUGUUGCGCAUCCCGAGUAGGGCCGGGCACGUGAAACCCGGUCCGAAGCCGGGGGGACCACCCUCCAAGGCUGAACACUCUCCUGUGACCGAUAGCGAACCAGUACCGUGAGGGAAAGGUGAAAAGCACCCCGAGAGGGGAGUGAAACAGUACCUGAAACCGUGCGCCCACAAGCAGUCGGAGCAGCCUUUGCGCUGUGACGGCGUGCCUUUUGUAGAAUGAGCCAGCGAGUUGCGGUGUGCGGCGAGGUUAAGUUUGGAAACGAGCCGCAGCGAAAGCGAGCCUUUAAGAUGGCGAGUGAGUCGCACGCUGCAGACGCGAAGCCGGGUGAGCUAUCCUGGGGCAGGCUGAAGCGGGGGUAAGACCCCGUGGAGGGCCGAACCCACUUCGGUUGAAAACGGAGGGGAUGACCCCAGGAUAGGGGUGAAAGGCCAAUCAAACCCGGAGAUAUCUCGUUCUCCCCGAAAUAGCUUUAGGGCUAGCCUCGGUCGUUCAGUCGCGGAGGUAGAGCACUGGAUCUUCUAGGGGGCUUCACCGCCUACCGACUCGAACCGAACUCCGAAUGCCGCGGGUCGAGAGGCCGGGAGUCAGAGGGCGUGGGCUAAGCUGCGCGCUCGAGAGGGAAACAGCCCAGACCGCCCGCUAAGGUCCCCAAGUCAUCGCUGAGUGGCAAAGGAUGUGCGUCUGCCCAGACAACCAGGAUGUUGGCUUAGAAGCAGCCAUACAUUUAAAGAGUGCGUAACAGCUCACUGGUCGAGUGGACAUGCGCCGACAAUUCACGGGGCUAAGCGAUGCACCGAAGCGGCGGACUGAGAAUUCAGUGGUAGGGGAGCUCUCCGCGGGGGGCGAAGCAGCAGGGCGACCUGCUGUGGACCGCGCGGAGGUGAGAAUGCUGGCAUGAGUAACGAGACCAGGGCGAGAAACCCUGGCGCCGUGAGCCUAAGGGUUCCUGGGCGAGGCUAAUCCCCCCAGGGUCAGUCGGGAGCUAAGGCGAGGCCGAGAGGCGUAGCCGAUGCGCAGCGGGCAGACAUUCCCGCACCGCCGACGGCGCGGCAUUACCGAUGGGGCGACGGAGAAGGGUAGCCGGGCGGGGUUCUGGACGUCCCCGUGAAAGCGCGUAGGGCGCGCAGCGUGGAAAUCAGCUGCGCACGGGGCCCGAGACGCGAGACGAAGCGAGCGAGCGAAGCCGGUGAGCCCAUGCUUCCGAGAAAAACCUCUAGGGAGUGCCGUCGGCGCCCGUACCAAAACCGACACAGGUGGGCGGGUAGAACAUACCGAGGCGAUCGGGAGAACCACGGUUAAGGAACUCGGCAUACUGGCCCCGUAACUUCGGGAGAAGGGGCGCCGCCGGCUGUGAACGCCCUCGCGGCGGGAGCGGCUGGCGGCCGCAGCGAAACGGCCCAAGCGACUGUUUAUCAAAAACACAGGACUCUGCAAAGCGGCAACGCGACGUAUAGGGUCUGACGCCUGCCCGGUGCCGGAAGGUUACGCGGAUGCGUCAGCCGAAAGGCGAAGCGCUGAAGCCAAGCCCCGGUAAACGGCGGCCGUAACUAUAACGGUCCUAAGGUAGCGAAAUUCCUUGUCGGGUAAGUUCCGACCUGC
rnacentral:rRNA from 1 species